rnacentral:rRNA from 1 species
UUGACAUCCAGCGAACUUUCCAGAGAUGGAUUGGUGCCUUCGGGAACGCUGAGACAGGUGCUGCAUGGCUGUCGUCAGCUCGUGUUGUGAAAUGUUGGGUUAAGUCCCGNAACGAGCGCAACCCUUAUCCUUUGUUGCCAGCGAUUCGGUCGGGAACUCAAAGGAGACUGCCGGUGAUAAACCGGAGGAAGGUGGGGAUGACGUCAAGUCAUCAUGGCCCUUACGAGUAGGGCUACACACGUGCUACAAUGGCGCAUACAAAGAGAAGCGACCUCGCGAGAGCAAGCGGACCUCAUAAAGUGCGUCGUAGUCCGGAUCGGAGUCUGCAACUCGACUCCGUGAAGUCGGAAUCGCUAGUAAUCGUGGAUCAGAAUGCCACGGUGAAUACGUUCCCGGGCCUUGUACACACCGCCCGUCACACCAUGGGAGUGGGUUGCAAAAGAAGUAGGUAGCUUAACCCUCGGGAGGGCGCUUACCACUUUGUGAUUCAUGACUGGGGUGAAGUCGUAACAAGGUAAGCGUAGCGAG